rnacentral:tRNA from 1 species
AAGAGGUUUGAGUAAUAGAGAUAGCUGCUAACUAAUUUCUAAAGCGGUUUAACCCCGUUUACCUCUUU